AUUUAUUUAGUAUAAUUUAAAUACAUUUAAUUUCCAAUUAAAAAAUUAACUUUAAUUAAAUAAAUA
rnacentral:tRNA from 1 species